rnacentral:rRNA from 1 species
CUAUUUAUUAUCUCUAUGUGCACCUUUUGUAGUCCGUUUUGUUAAUGGAGGGAGCAAUCCCCUUCAAGGAAGCCUUUCCGCAGUCAAUGCGGGUUUGUGGGUUUGAGCGUGCGAGCGCACUUUCCCUCUCUUUUCCACAAGCAAUUGUGGGUUUGGGGCAUUGAGCGUGCAAGCGCACUUGUCCUUGGCUUCCUUCAGAAAGGCUAUGUUUUUAUAUACCCUAUUAAAGUUACAGAAUGUCUUUUUAACGAUUGUGCUAGUCGCAGUCAUUAAACCUAUACAACUUUCAGCAACGGAUCUCUUGGCUCUCCCAUCGAUGAAGAACGCAGCGAAAUGCGAUAAGUAAUGUGAAUUGCAGAAUUCAGUGAAUCAUCGAAUCUUUGAACGCACCUUGCGCCCUUUGGUAUUCCGAAGGGCAUGCCUGUUUGAGUGUCAUUAAAUUAUCAACCUUGCGUGCUUUUACUAGUGUCGCUUGGCUUGGAUGUGAGGGUUUUGCUGGCUUCCUUCAGUGGAUUGGUCUGCUCCCUUUAAAUGCAUUAGUGGGAUCUCUUGUGGACCGUCACUUGGUGUGAUAAUUAUCUAUGCCGUUUGACUUUGAAGCAAAUUUAUGGGAACCUGCUUAUAACCGUCCUCUAGGCGGACAACAAUCUUAAUUGACAUUUGACCUCAAAUCAGGUAGGA